GGUUGCGAUCAUACCAGCACUAAUGCACCGGAUCCCAUCAGAACUCCGCAGUUAAGCGUGCUUGAGCGAGAGUAGUACUAGGAUAGGUGACCCCCUGGGAAGUCCUCGUGUUGCAACCC
rnacentral:rRNA from 1 species